rnacentral:rRNA from 1 species
UACGGAGGGUGCAAGCGUUAUCCGGAUUCACUGGGUUUAAAGGGUGCGUAGGCGGGUUGGUAAGUCAGUGGUGAAAUCUUCAAGCUUAACUUGGAAACUGCCGUUGAUACUAUCAAUCUUGAAUAUUGUGGAGGUAAGCGGAAUAUGUCAUGUAGCGGUGAAAUGCUUAGAUAUGACAUAGAACACCGAUAGCGAAGGCAGCUUGCUACACAAUAAUUGACGCUGAGGGACGAAAGCUAGGGGAGCGAAUGGG